CCUACGGGUGGCAGCAGUGAGGAAUAUUGGUCAAUGGCCGAGAGGCUGAACCAGCCAAGUCGCGUGAGGGAAGACGGCCAUACGGGUUGUAAACCUCUUUUGUCGGGGAGCAAAGCGAGGCACGUGUGACUCAUUGAGAGUACCCGAAGAAAAAGCAUCGGCUAACUCCGUGCCAGCAGCCGCGGUAAUACGGAGGAUGCGAGCGUUAUCCGGAUUUAUUGGGUUUAAAGGGUGCGCAGGCGGAGGUGCAAGUCAGCGGUAAAAUUGCGGGGCUCAACCCCGUACUGCCGUUGAUACUGCAUGCCUUGAGUGCGCGAGAGGUAUGCGGAAUGCGUGGUGUAGCGGUGAAAUGCAUAGAUAUCACGAAGAACUCCGAUUGCGAAGGCAGCAUACCGGCGCGCAACUGACGUUGAUGCACGAAAGCGUGGGUAUCGAACAGGAUUAGAUACCCUUGUAGUC
rnacentral:rRNA from 1 species